AAAAACAGAGGAGUUUUCUGGAGAGAGGUGAGAGUUUCUAGCUUAGAGAGAAUUCUUGAGGAGACAUAGCAUAUUUCAGAGUAAGCUAGAGAGAGGAUUCUCUGGUUUUCCAUAGGCAUUUUGCUUGAAGAACCCAGGUACGUACACAGCUUUCCCUUCAUCUCUUAUUAUUCACUGCUUUUCCUUAACAUUAUGUUGUUUGGGGUGGAUAUUGGAGGCCACCGGUUUGUUUGUUGAGAGAUAAUCAUGUCUUUAAUGUUUGCCAUUAUUGAUUUUAACUUGCUUUGCCUCCAUUUGUGAUGAUGAGAUGUUCAAGAUUCAUGCCUGUGUCUACACUUGAUGUGGCUUACUCACCUGCUCGGAAGAUCCAUUGAUGACUAAUGAAGUGGAUUUUCCGAGAUUUUCUUUAUUUACUUGUUUUCUGUUAUGCUCUG
rnacentral:lncRNA from 1 species